GGGGCCAGGCUCCACAUAAAGUGAAGAGAUGUUUCUCGCGUGUUCUAAAGCAAAAUGAUUCCCAGGCGUCAGCAUACACUAUACAAGUGAAUGAAGAAAGUGGAAGAGUGGCACAGGAGUAAGAACUUGAGAGGCCAAAGCAGGAGAAUCACAAGUUCAAGGCCACCCUGGGCGGCAUAACAAACUCACACUCUUGAAUCCUAUGCUGGAAUCCAUUUAUCACCAACAUGAAGAGCUGGUGGGCCAGCAUUCUUCCUCUUCCUGAAAGUUCCUGGGUUAUGGAAUAACACUAAAGUAAAUACUAUGAUCACACCGACUGACCUAAUUGUGAGGGGCUGACAUCCCACCAGAAGACUCCUGGGACUACUGGGUUGGAAAUAAAGAUUGGCACCAAGAUCCUGGUGAAACUUCCAGAACUGGAGCAGAGGAGUCUGGUUGCUCAGUGAGCAGCUGAUAAUACUGGCAACAACAUCUUGCGUUUCUGUGGCUUCUUCCCUUCAGAAGCCUCCAGAAUCCUCCAGGAACUCUCCAGGGAAAUACUAUAAUAAGGAAGGUCCUUAAUGGGCAUUACCUCUCACCUGAUUCCUAGGCAUUGCUCCGCACAGUACUGCCAACGCAUUACAUAAACAGCCACCUGAUGGGAUUCGGUUUCCAUGAAACCACUGAACACUUUAAGGAAAGGGUGUAACUUAGGAAAAUGCCUAUGUUCUGAGUUCUAAACCUCUCUUAUAUCCCAUAAAUAAAGAUCUUGGCAUGAA